GGCCUGCUAGCUCAGUCGGUUAGAGCGUCGUGCUAAUAACGCGAAGGUCGUAGGUUCGAUCCCUGCGCAGUCCA
rnacentral:tRNA from 1 species